rnacentral:misc_RNA from 1 species
UUUCCGUAGGUGAACCUGCGGAAGGAUCAUUAGUAGAACGGGACGGCCCCCGCUUCCGGCGGUGGACGGCCCCACCUCCUAAUUCUCACCCUGUGCACCGUGUCACCCUUUUUUCGCCCCUGUGCGAUCGAAAAGUGAAGUCACGAAGUCGAAACGAAACACGAGAAGCAUAAAAUGAAGCAACGGAUCUCUUGGCUCUCGCAUCGAUGAAGAACGCAGC